rnacentral:rRNA from 1 species
CCUACGGGAGGCAGCAGUAGGGAAUCUUUCACAAUGGGCGAAAGCCUGAUGGAGCAACGCCGCGUGCAGGAUGAAGGCCUUCGGGUUGUAAACUGCUUUUAUAAGCGAGAAAUAUGAUGGUAACUUAUGAAUAAGGAUCGGCUAACUACGUGCCAGCAGCCGCGGUCAUACGUAGGAUCCGAGCAUUAUCCGGAGUGGCUGGGUGUAAAGAGUUGCGUAGGUGGCAUAAUAAGUAGCUAGUGAAAUCUGGUGGCUCAACCAUUCAGACUAUUAGCUAAACUGUUAAGCUCGAGACCGUUAGAGGUAACUGGAAUUUCUAGUGUAGGAGUGAAAUCCGUAGAUAUUAGAAGGAACACCAAUAGCGUAGGCAGGUUGCUGGGACGGUUCUGACACUAAGGCACGAAAGCGUAGGGAGCAAACGGGAUUAGAUACCCCUGUAGUC